AUUGAACGCUGGCGGCAGGCUUAACACAUGCAAGUCGAACGCCCCGCAAGGGGAGUGGCAGACGGGUUAGUAACGCGUGGGAACAUACCCUUUCCUGCGGAAUAGCUCCGGGAAACUGGAAUUAAUACCGCAUACUCCCUACGGGGGAACGAUUUAUCGGGGAAGGAUUGGCCCGGGUUGGAUUAGCUAGUUGGUGGGGUAAAGGCCUACCAAGGCGACGAUCCAUAGCUGGGCUGAGAGGAGGAUCAGCCACAUUGUGACUGAGACACGGCCCAAACUCAUACGGGAGGAAGCAGUGGGGAAUAUUGGACAAUUGGCGCAAGCCUGAUCCAGCCAUGCCGCGUGAGUGAUGAAGGCCUUAGGGUUGUAAAGCUCUUUCACCGGAGAAGAUAAUGACGGUAUCCGGAGAAGAAGCCCCGGCUAACUUCGUGCCAGCAGCCGCCGCGGUAA
rnacentral:rRNA from 1 species